GAUGAACGCUGGCGGCGUGGAUAAGGCAUGCAAGUCAAACGGGUCAUUUUUCGCAAGAGAAAUGAUCAGUGGCAGACGAGUUAGUAUUACCUUGGUACGUACCCUUUAGCCGGGCAUAAUCUUCCGAAAGGAGGACUAAUUCCCGAUAGUCUCGCAAGAGUAAAGAUGCAAAUCACUAAAGGAGCGGCCUAGGUCCUAUCAGCUAGUUGGCGGGGUAACGGCCCACCAAGGCUAUGACGGGUAGGGGGUGUGAGAGCACGACCCCCAACGAGGGAACUGAGACACGGUCCUUACAUCUACGGAUGGCUGCAGUCGAGAAUAUUCGACAAUGGGCGAAAGCCUGAUCGAGCGACGCCGCGUGCAGGAAGAAGGGCUUCGGCCUGUAAACUGCUUUUGCGUGGGAAGAAUUUUGACGGUACCACGAGAAUAAGGGGUUGCUAACUCUGUGC
rnacentral:rRNA from 1 species